rnacentral:rRNA from 1 species
CGAAUCUCGAAAGCCUAUCUCAGUUCGGAUUGGAGGCUGAAACCCGCCUCCAUGAAGUUGGAUUCGCUAGUAAUCGCGCAUCAGCCAUGGCGCGGUGAAUACGUUCCCGGGCCUUGUACACACCGCCCGUCAAGCCAUGGGAGCUGGGGGUGCCUGAAGUUCGUGACCGCAAGGAUCGACCUAGGGCAAAACCGGUGACUGGGGCUAAGUCGUAACAAGGUAUC